rnacentral:tRNA from 1 species
CCAGCUAGCUCAGUUGGUAGAGUAUGGGACUCUUAAUCCUGGGUUGUGGGUUUGAGCCCCACGUUGG